rnacentral:rRNA from 1 species
AAUGAACGCUGGCGGCGUGCCUAACACAUGCAAGUCGAGCGAGAAAGUGGCUUCGGCCAUGAGUACAGCGGCGAACGGGUGAGUAACACGUGGAUAACCUGCCUGGGAGUGGGGGAUAACUCGGGGAAACCUGAGCUAAUACCGCAUACGCUUUCUGGAUUGCGAUCCAGAUCGGAAAGGUUGCCUCUUCUCGAAAGCUAUCGCUCCCAGAGGGGUCCGCGCCUGAUUAGCUAGUUGGUGGGUAACGGCCCACCAAGGCGACGAUCAGUAGCCGGCCUGAGAGGGUGAUCGGCCACACUGGAACUGAGACACGGUCCAGACUCCUACGGGAGGCAGCAGUGGGGAAUAUUGCGCAAUGGGGGAAACCCUGACGCANCAACGCCGCGUGGAGGAUGAAAUCCCUGGGAUGUAAACUUCGACAAGAACGGGAAGAAGUAAGU